AUGAAUUAUUAGUAAUAAGUAUUGCCAAAAAUCAGUUUAUGCACGUUCUAAAGUGGCAAUUAUUGAAAACUUCAUAGAAAAACAAAAAACUCACAAGAAACGACAAGCAGGUGUGAAGGCUGACAGGAAAAAGAGAAAAACAAAAUCAUCUGAAAAAAAAAAACUGAGAAUGUUAGAGCAUUUGCAAUCACAAAAGCAAACGAUUUCAACAUAAGGAAGAUAUUUUUAACUGAAAAACAGCUUAUUCCCCGAUAGAUAAAACACCGGAAGAACCUGCUCUGUUUUGAUCGCCGUCGUUAGGCCUCGUUGAAAAAUUUGAUAAAGAAAUCACAAAAUUAGGUGAGGUGAAUCGAUAAUUGGAUGACGUUUUAUUAGAUGUUCCUGGAGAUGAUAAAAGCUGGCGUAGACUGCAUUGCACAUGCUGCAUUUAAGCGGUGGCCAACACUUGCUGUGUGUUUUCAAGCCAUGUACUGACUUGCAAUGUUGUUUCAUCUCAUUUAUAUGGCCCUCGAUGAUCUGAUCACAUCCGUCAACGGAACAUACAAAUCGUUGAGAAUCUGGUAAUUCAAUAAAGUUCUCGAUAUAGAUAAGUUCUUAACUAUGGUCAGGCCCGGAUUUGAGGAGGGCCUAGUUGCAAAUGCCCCGGGCCUCCCGACUCGAGGACCCCCUUAGACGAAGUGAAGACCUCUUUUUUGGCUCGUCACCUUCCAGCGGUGCGAAGGUGUAGCACAAUUUUUCGUCGAAUUCGCCCCGGGUCCCCUAACGCCCAAAUCCGGCCCUGACUAUGGUCUCUGUUUAAUUAAAUUUAAUUUAGGUUUAAUUUCAGAAUAAAAAUUAUUGCGUCAGCUAAAAAAUCCAAGUUUAAUGAUAUUUAAUUUAGGUGUAGUUUAAGAAUAAAAAUUAUUAGCUAAAAAAUUUUCGUUGAAACUAUAAUUUCUAAGUAUUUCAAGAGAUUGUGGGAUAACAAUAUCUGUUAAAUCUAAGCGUAUCACUAACCUUUUAUUUUUUCAAAUGUUUCGGAAUCCAAAAUGCGUUUUAGCUGAUCCAUGGUUCUGGAAGAAUGAAAAAAAAACAUAUAUAUCCUAUAAACAGCUAGUCAAACCUAAGGCAAUCGAAAAUAUAUAUUUUUCAAUUAAAGUUUAAUAAAUACCUUUAUUUUUCCGUUAAUCCGUUAUGUAUUUUUCAGCUUGCUCGGCCUUUAACACACUUAGUAUACUGUACACCCGUUCUCGAUCGCGUUGCAGCUUAUAUUAACUAACCAUGUCUUGACAGCACUGGCAGUAGCAGAUACAAAAUUUUCAUCCAAAAUUAGGUAGAAUAAAUCCUUUCGAGCAGCAAAAACUGUUGAUGAAAGAGAUCGAAGGAAACUACCAAUUUCAUUGGUAAAUACUACCUAAAACAUUUCACUCAGAAAAAGGUAUGCCGUAUUUAUCCUUCAUGUAGGUAAUUUCUACCAAUUUCGCUAGUUCGAAAUUACUCAUAAUCGAUGUUGGCUUAGGCGAACUCAGAAACUGGUAGUCUUUGUACUCAUAAUUAUGUAGCUUCAUUUAACCGUGUGAUUAUUUCCGGUAUUCC